rnacentral:rRNA from 1 species
UAGUUCGGAUUGUAGGCUGAAACCCGCCUACAUGAAGCUGGAAUUGCUAGUAAUCAUAGGUCAGCAUACUAUGGUGAAUACGUUCCCGGGCCUUGUACACACCGCCCGUCACACCAUGAGAGUUGAGAAUACCCGAAGUCCAUGUCAAAGUGGCCGAAGGUAGGCUUGAUGAUUGGGGUGAAGUCGUAACAAGGUAGC